rnacentral:rRNA from 1 species
CCUACGGGAGGCAGCAGUGGGGAAUAUUGGACAAUGGGGGCAACCCUGAUCCAGCCAUGCCGCGUGUGUGAAGAAGGCCCUCGGGUUGUAAAGCACUUUCAGUGAGGAAGAACGCCUGGUGGUUAAUACCCAUCAGGAAAGACAUCACUCACAGAAGAAGCACCGGCUAACUCCGUGUCAGCAGCCGCGGUAAUACGGAGGGUGCGAGCGUUAAUCGGAAUUACUGGGCGUAAAGCGCGCGUAGGUGGCUUGAUAAGCCGGUUGUGAAAGCCCCGGGCUCAACCUGGGAACGGCAUCCGGAACUGUCAAGCUAGAGUGCAGGAGAGGAAGGUAGAAUUCCCGGUGUAGCGGUGAAAUGCGUAGAGAUCGGGAGGAAUACCAGUGGCGAAGGCGGCCUUCUGGACUGACACUGACACUGAGGUGCGAAAGCGUGGGUAGCAAACAGGAUUAGAUACCCUUGUAGUC